UACCUGGUUGAUCCUGCCAGUAGUCAUAUGCUUGUCUCAAAGAUUAAGCCAUGCAAGUCUAAGUACGAGCUCUCGUACAGUGAAACUGCGAAUGGCUCAUUAAAUCAGUUAUGGUUCAUUUGAUCGUACAGUUUACUUGGAUAACUGUGGUAAUUCUAGAGCUAAUACAUGCGAGAAGCGCCGACCUCGCGGGAGGCGUGCAUUUAUCAGACCAAAAACCGGCCGCGUCUUCGGGCGCGUUCGCCUUGGUGACUCUGGAUAACUUUGCGGAUCGCACGGUCUAGCACCGGCGACGGAUCAUUCAAGUGUCUGCCCUAUCAACUC
rnacentral:ncRNA from 1 species